GGUGAUACUGUUUGUAUAAUGGUUGUAUCUCUAGAUAACAGGAUCUGACUCUCUCUCGAGAAACAUAUCAACUAUCAAAAUGAUUUGUCAGAAAGGCAUUAUUCUUUCAAGAUUUAUACAGUUCGGUUUAAACUCUCUCUCUCUCUCUCUCUCUCUCUCUCUCUGUACUGUCAUACAUUGACUGAAUGAGUAAUUUCUUUUAUAAAUAUAGAGCUAUCACAAAUUGAUAAUAUAAAUUAUUUCAGUAAGUUACACGUUUUAGAAAUUAAUGGGCAAAGUAUUGUUUAAUAUCUGAUGGUGUAAUUUGUAAUACAUGUAUAGAAACGAGAAAAGAAUACAAUGAUACUAAAAUUGCAUUGUUAAAAAAAUAUUAAGAGAAAAUAGCAGUUGUGGACAGGUCAAUGCUAUCAAAACGCUGGUAUACUGGGCUUCCUCAAGAUCUAAAGAAUGCAUGUACUGAUUGACUGUUGCUGUCAAAACACCUCUCUGGGGUAGCUCCAGACCACAGUCUCUGCAGAUGUCACUCCACCUGAGAUAUAUUGUUAAAUGUUUGAAUGACAGGCCGCUUACCAUUAGGGGUGUUAACUUAAAAUUGGGUCUUUAAACGGAGAGGAGACUGUGUCUUGCGUGCCUUGUGUGGUGUGUGGAAGUACCGGCAAUAUUACCCAGCAGCAAUACCCCAGAGGAACGGGGCAUGAGAUAGGUCAAAAACCAUUCAAAGUCCUUUAUGUCAUCCACACAUUUAGAACUCCGGCGUCUGUAAGUACCACGCGACCACCGGUUUUCCCGUCUUACAUAGUUAUGUCGGCAUCCGGUCAUAUCCCCUGCUUCGGAUUCACAAUGCGGGCAUACCAUCGACUCUCCCACUUAGACAAUUGGACUGUUGUGUGCGCCAGUGUAAUGGUAUUUUUGUCUGAAAUUGUGAUGUGCUAUGAAAAUUUGAAUGUAGUAUGUUGGCAUGUAGUACGUAUAAUAUUUGGUUAGCUGGGACUUGUUUCCAUUGUAAUCAUAAUUAUCAUCCACAGUCAAUCUUCAAUAAAUUCUGCACUUGUACAUUUUGUGUAAUUCAUGCUCUAGGAAGCAAUUCAGGCUUUGAACUAAUGGACAUGUUCCGUAUCCGCAAGCCAGAUUCUGUUAAAAUUACAGUUUCACGUUCUCUUUUAACCUGUAACACGAGAAGUAGGUCAGUUUAAAUAAUCUACUCCGAUUGACAAGAAUAUGAAUAUAUAUUGAGUCAAUUUAAUACGUUGCAGUCGCAAAUUACAGGUAAUGCAAGGCCGUUUCCGUUUGAAUUAAAUUUUCAGAAAUAUAUAUAUUGAAGGUACUGGUUUCAAGUUAUUCAACCAUUGUAUUGUUUUCAACUUGGAUUCAUAGAAAAAAUAUUUACGGCAAUAAUUCAAUACUGCCCAAGUUCUCCAGUUACGAAUUAUUUUUACCCUUUACCAGGUCGUGUGAUUUUAGAGACUUACAUAAUGAAGGGGGUGGGGUCUCGAAGCACUAUUUCCAUUAUUGAAAAACAUCAAGUAAAUACAGAUCAAUGAAAAUAUAAAUAAACACACAUAAUAGUAAUUUUAUUGGGUUUAACAACCAUUGACACUUAAAAAUGAGAAAAAUAAAAUUUGAAAGAGCAUAUGAUAAAAAUUAUCAAGAAACAAAAGUGAUUUAUAUAUCUGCAAACUCUUGUAGAGUACACAAAUUCAAUUUGAUCUAUUUUAGUUUUAACCCUUUCUCCGUUUCUUGAAUAUUUCUGGCAUAUGAUCCGUAAUUGGAGACACUGCUCGUAUUUAAGUAGUCAAUCAGUGUACAUUUAUUUAGGCAGGGACCGUAGUAAAUGUUUGGUGUCUUGUAAGUGAAUGCAUGUGCCAUACUUUGCAACUAUUGAUGCUUAUUUACUAUUUUUUUUAUCGGCCACGGUGCCUGCUGAAAAAUGAAAGUAGCUUGUCAAAAUAGGAGUGAAAAUCUCAAUCUUGAAAACGCUUGUUUUAAUUUUUGUUGAUUUGAGGGUCCAUGGCUGUGGGUAAUUUAUUUUAAAAAACUAUAUCCACUGAUUAUAAACACAAAGUCCCAUUCUCUAUGACCAUAAUGUGUUGUUUUUUUUGUUUUUUUUUUUGUUUUUUGUUUUUUUGUUUUUUACACUUAUGUGCUUUAUUUGAAAUAUUGUGAAAAGAAAUACACACGAGUGACCCGUAAUUGGCGACUUCACAGUAUUUUCUCAAAAUGUUUGUUCGAAUGUUUAAUACUCUUAGGGGAUCAGCAUUUUUAUUUUGAUAAUCAAAUACUACUACAUAUAUGUCAAUUAACUUCUUUAUGAAUAAUUAGACGAGAUGAGAUCGAAAUAUAAGAAAAAUAACAUUACUGAAUUCUAUUUCUAGAGCAACCAAAGUCACUUGCGACAAGUGUGCUUUGUACAGUGACCGUAAUAAUGUUACAUAUUUAUGAACAUAACAUAGGCAAAUAUGUUAAUUGAAGGUGGACGUUUUUAAAUAUAUUAAAUUAUAUUAAUUGUUUUGCAACAAAGAUAUUUACAUUGCUACCAGGGUUUUGAUAGAAGUUUUAUUACACGUUUUAACAUUUUAUUAUUCAAGCUGUCUCACCUUUUAUCUUUAUAAAGCAAGUAUACUAAUAAACUUUUUAAAGCAUUUGAACUACACUUCUGAGAGUACGAUUCCCACGACAGUAGCGAGGUAAGAGAAAUAUCAUCAUAUCGCUAUCCUUUAUGAGAGUAUCAAAAUCAAUUCAUAUACGAUUAUCUAUAUCAUAGUAUAACUUACAAUGUCAGGAAAUAUUGCCAGUUUGAAAUGCAUGUUCAGUGGAGAAAAGAGCACAUGCAAUUGACAGCUCAACUGGUAGUAGAAUGGUCAACAGGUGUGUAUGAGGAAAUGUACAGAUAAACAUCGAGUGUAUAUAUCAAUUCUAUUAGGCGCUUAAAUGGUUCUAAAGGAAGGUGUAAGUGAUAGAUCUAUGUUUUUCAUCGCUUCUAAUGCUUAUCCCUUUGCCUCUUCACGAUUACUACAUCUUGACUGGCACUUUAUAUUAACAUAUUUAAAGCAAUCAGCUGGAUUUGCACAAAUUCAAUUGAUAUGAUUUAGAACUCUGAUCCCUUACCCGAUCCUUUAUCUCCUCUAGUGUUUAGAUGUUAUAUUUGUUUGUAUCUUACGAAGAAGCCCCCUAGUUUAUUUACUUACGUAGAUAUAUGUACUUUCAGAUAGUUUCCAAUUUGAAGAUUUUAUUGAUAUCGGGUUCUUUAGUUUACUUGUCAAGGAAUCUAUGUCAUUUGAAAAUGACAUUUAUUGAGUAAAUAAGAGAAUUAUCAGAGAUUUUUCUAAGAGUAUGAUAAAUAUUACAGAAAAAUUAUGCAGCUCCACCAUUCCACUUUUCUCUAUUCAUCUACCUUAACAUUGUUCAAUUAGCGUUCUUAGCACCAAUAUUACAUGCAACUGUAUCUAUUGAAUAUACAUUGUACAUGGUAUAUUAAUUGGAAAUUAAUAAAAUGCUGGAAAUAAAUUUUUACACGAGCUAAUUAUGAUAAUACAGCACGAGUAGAUCUUAGAUGAGAUGGAAACUAUAAUGAUAGUAAAUGUACUCCAUAUAAUACUCGCCAGUAAUAACCUGUAUUUUCAAUUCAAUCGAGUCAACGUCACUCAUUAGCAUCAAAACAGUAGUCACAUGUACAUAUGUAUUCUGAAGAUUACGACUUUACGUGAAAUUCUUCUUUUAUUCAUCCUUUCACCUUUUUUUAUUUCUACAUUGUUAACUCUAACAACGUAUUGGUAUAUUGCAGUGUCUACAGAAAAUUGAGAUUCUUGACAGAAGAAAUGAAGAUGAAGAUGUUUGUUUUACUGCUCGGUGUGUGCAUUUUGGGAAUGACAAAUUCUGCUUCAGUUGUACUGCCGACGCCAGGGAGGGAAUUUGGUACACAUCGACAAUGCACAAGAAAACGAUUGGUUAUCUUCAAAGUACACCACAGAAUCCAUAUGGAUUGGGGCCACUGACCAGGCAGCGGAAGGUCUAUGGAGAUCAAUAACUACUGGAGAAAAAAUAACAUAAACCAACUGGUCUGCAGGCAAUCCAAACAAUUACAAAGGAAAUCAACAUUGUGGAACAUUGAACUGGGGAGGUAACGGCCGCUGGGACGACCACAGUAUUAACCUUUAUCUGCGAAGUU